UACGUAGGGUGCAAGCGUUGUCCGGAAUUAUUGGGCGUAAAGAGCUUGUAGGCGGUUUGUCGCGUCUGCUGUGAAAUUUCGGGGCUCAACCCCGAACUUGCAGUGGGUACGGGCAGACUAGAGUGUGGGAGGGGAGACUGGAAUUCCUGGUGUAGCGGUGAAAUGCGCAGAUAUCAGGAGGAACACCGAUGGCGAAGGCAGGUCUCUGGGCCACUACUGACGCUGAGAAGCGAAAGCGUGGGGAGCGAACAGG
rnacentral:rRNA from 1 species